AUUAUGUUGCAACAUUUCAGAUCCUGAACAAUUGCUUCGUUGAUGAUUUGUGCUCCUGUCUGGAUAAGACCUACACAUAAGAUCCUGGCUGGGAUAGCCUUUGUCAGCUCCCUCCUUAUUGAUGUGUUAUAGCUGGACUGCGGAGCUUGCAUGUGAUGGAGGCAGAAUUUGUCUUACUACUACUACUCCCCUUCUCUCAAAGUUCCUUACACAACUUGACCAACGCACUGAGCAGCUCAUGAAAGUGUUGAAGAACAAAGGAGGCUCUGCAGGGAGGAAAAUCAGGAUCAUUAUGGCCCCAAUGACACAGGGAGCUUGAGAAGU